CUACGGGGUGCUCCAGUGAGGAAUAUUGCACAAUGGGAGGAACCCUGAUGCAGCAACGCCGCGUGGAGGAUGACGCAUUUCGGUGUGUAAACUCCUUUUAUAUGUCAAGAAAAUGACGGUAGCAUAUGAAUAAGCACCGGCUAACUCCGUGCCAGCAGCCGCGGUAAUACGGAGGGUGCAAGCGUUACUCGGAAUCACUGGGCGUAAAGGACGCGUAGGCGGGUUGGAAAGUCAGGUGUGAAAUCCUACAGCUUAACUGUAGAACUGCACUUGAAACUUCUAAUCUAGAGUAUGGGAGGGGGAGAUGGAAUUAGUGGUGUAGGGGUAAAAUCCGUAGAUAUCACUAGGAAUACCUAAAGCGAAGGCGAUCUCCUGGAACAUUACUGACGCUAAGGCGUGAAAGCGUGGGGAGCAAACAGGAUUAGUACCCCUGUAGUC
rnacentral:rRNA from 1 species